GAAUUUUCCGCAAUGGGCGAAAGCCUGGCGGAGCAAUACCGCGUGAGGGAGGAAGGUUCUUGGAUUGUAAACCUCUUUUCUCAGGGAAGAAAAAAAUGACGGUACCUGAGGAAUAAGCAUCGGCUAACUCCGUGCCAGCAGCCGCGGUAAUACGGGGGAUGCAAGCGUUAUCCGGAAUUAUUGGGCGUAAAGAGUCCGUAGGUGGUUCAGCAAGUCUAUUGUCAAAGGUCGGGGCUUAACUCCGGAAAGGCAGUGGAAACUGUUGAACUAGAGUAUGGUAGGGGUAGAGGGAAUUCCCAGUGUAGCGGUGAAAUGCGUAGAUAUUGGGAAGAACACCGGUGGCGAAAGCGCUCUACUGGACCAUAACUGACACUGAGGGACGAAAGCCAAGGUAGCGAAAGGG
rnacentral:rRNA from 1 species